UGCUGGAGUCCACAGCUGGGAAGGGCCUCUCAGCCCUCCUGCAGGCAACUGGUGGACCACAGGAGGGUCCUUGGUUCUCUCAGGCUCAACAUUCAGGUGCCAUUAGCUGCUGCUACCCAAAGCCCUCAUUGCUGCCUCUGAGCUGCUCCUCGCCCUGGAUUCUGCCACCCCCACCCCCGCAAAAAAAAGCAUAUUUGUUUAUGGAUACUUCCAGUGACCCACCCAGGCUGGGAAAUGCCAGGCCAGCCCACAGGUAGCUGGAGUGCUGGGGUGGAAGGUGACCCCUGCCAGUCUGGCAGGGAGGGCACUGGGCUGCCUCUCCUUAGGAAUCUGUCUUCCCAGGGCCCUGUGAGAAGCACUUGAGGCCAUGUGAGGGGUGGUCAGCACACAGGUGAGCCUACCCUCCAUCCUUUCCUCAGGGCUGACGCUGCCCACCUACCCCUACCCAGAAUCCACUCCAGCCCCCAGCUGGCAGCCUCGCCUCGAAUUCUCUGGGCCUCUCUUUGCCUGCCUGUGCAGUGGACAGGAUGAUGCUUAGCCUCCAGAGGUGGCCACUCCACACGGACCGGCUCCCAGCGGCCACAGAAGGGAAUGUGGACUAGCCGUGGGGAGCGGUCAGCCUCUACAGGCUCUCUGGCUUUUGGGGGAAAGCAGCCCCAGCAGCCGGGGAACCGCCUGGUUCUGCUCCAACUCCAUCGUAUUUAUGGAUGCUGACAUUUGAGUUGCAUCUCAUUUCACAAGUCAGGAAACACUCUUCUGCUUUGGGUGUUUGUUAUCUUAAAAUGGACAAGCCAUCUCUGGGGUGGGUAGGACAACCGAGGGGCCCCGGUGCUCACGCCUGCCUGGAAGCUCUACCUGCACCAACUCAUUUGGUUCCCCUCCGAGGGGCCGACCCUUGUCCCCACUGGACAGGUGAGGACACUGAGGCAGGGGCCGGAGAGCCCCGCCCACGGCCGCCGGGUC
rnacentral:lncRNA from 1 species